CUGCCUCUCUGGAUGGAGUCGGACAUGCCGGCGAUACUGUUCCACCUGCAGGAUCCCAGUCAGGUCACACCUAUUCAGCUCUCAUGGAAAUGGUCUUAUGGCAUUGGUUUUAAUGUUUUAUUGUUGAUUGGCUUUUUUUCUUAUCAGAGAUUUCUCCUGAACUGGCAUCCAAAUGGUACUUGUCAGUUUACUCGCCAGGCAAAGAGCUAUUCUGCAUGGGGUGCUACAGUAUCCUACUGCUGUCCGGCUGAGGAAUAGAGGUUGGUAACUGCACAGGACAGAUUCACAUGGAAAAAUUGAAAAAAAUCAGACUGACCCAUUGUGAGUGCUGGUAUCUUGCAUGGGGGAGGUGGAUUUCAAAUUCCAGGCUGUCUGAUCCCUGUGACACACCUGGAGGACGGCUGGGGCGAACCCCUCACUGGACGACAUCGGGGUCACGAGGACCGGCUCUGGCCGACCGCGUAGAUGGUAAAACCUUGACAAGCAAAAAGUUGCUUAGAUAAACCAUUUCAUCACAGGUCAGCGUCUGAGCCAUGGUGUUAAGAU